ACUACCAAGACUGCGAUGGUUAGCUGGUCUGAGAGGAUGAUCAGUCACACUGGAACUGGAACACGGUCCAGACUCCUACGGGAGGCAGCAGUGAGGAAUUUUGCGCAAUGGGGGCAACCCUGACGCAGCAACGCCGCGUGAGUGAAGAAGGCCUUUGGGUCGUAAAGCUCUGUCAACUGGGAAGAAAUUAUGAUGAUCUAAUAGGUGGUCAUAUUGACGGUACCAGUGGAGGAAGCGCCGGCUAACUCCGUGCCAGCAGCCGCGGUAACACGGGGGGCGCAAGCGUUAUUCGGAAUUAUUGGGCGUAGAGGGCGCGUAGGCGGUCUUGUCGGUCAGAUGUGAAAGCCCAGGGCUCAACCCUGGACGUGCAUUUGAAACAGCAAGACUUGAGUACGGGAGAGGAAAGCGGAAUUCCUGGUGUAGAGGUGAAAUUCGUAGAUAUCAGGAGGAACACCGAUGGCGAAGGCAGCUUUCUGGACCGAUACUGACGCUGAGGCGCGAAGGCGUGGGUAGCGAACAGGAUUAGAUACCCUGGUAGUCCACGCAGUAAACGAUGUUCACUCGGUGUGUCGGAUAUUAAAAUCUGAUGUGCCCAAGCUAACGCAUUAAGUGAACCGCCUGGGGAGUACGGUCGCAAGACUAAAACUCAAAGGAACUGACGGGGGCCCGCACAAGCGGUGGAGCAUGUGGUUUAAUUCGACAACGCGAAGAACCUUACCUGGGUUUGACAUCCUGUGAACGUCCAAGAGAUUGGACAGUGCCUUCGGGAGCACAGUGACAGGUGCUGCAUGGCUGUCGUCAGCUCGUGUCGUGAGAUGUUUGGUUAAGUCCAGCAACGAGCGCAACCCUUAUCGUUAGUUGCCAGCACAUAAUGGUGGGAACUCUAACGAGACUGCCCGGGUUAACCGGGAGGAAGGUGGGGAUGACGUCAAGUCCUCAUGGCCCUUAUACCCAGGGCUACACACAUGCUACAAUGGUAAAUACAGAGGGCAGCGAACUCGCGAGAGUAAGCGAAUCCCUAAAGUUUAUCUCAGUCCGGAUUGGAGUCUGCAACUCGACUCCAUGAAGUUGGAAUCGCUAGUAAUCGCGGAUCAGCAUGCCGCGGUGAAUAUGUUCCCGGGCCUUGUACACACCGCCCGUCACACCAUGGGAGUUGAUUAUACCCGACGUCGCUGGGCUAACCAUUUAUGGGAGCAGGCGCCUAAGGUAUGGUUGAUAACUGGGGUGAAGUCGUAACAAGGUA
rnacentral:rRNA from 1 species